rnacentral:misc_RNA from 1 species
GAUGAAGAACGCAGCGAAAUGCGAUAAGUAGUGUGAAUUGCAGAAGUACCGUGAAUCAUCGAAUCUUUGAACGCAAAUUGCACUCUCUGGUAUUCCGGGGAGUAUGCCUGUUUGAGGGUCGCUUAACAAACCAUCGAUUUCGUUGCUUUUUUUUUAAAAAGUGAUGUUUAUCGGAUUUGAGCCGUCUUUUUUUUUUAUAUUUAAGUGGCUUAAAAUUGAUUUUUUUGGUACGAUCGAAGCGUAUUUUUAUGAUCAAUUUUUGGUUAAAGAAACGCACACGUACCGUUAUUUAUAUGAUGUAAUACGUUUGACUAUUGGAUUUAGUUCAUUCGUAUACGAUAUUUUUCAAUAUUUGACCUCAAAUCAGGUAAGAACACCCGCUGAACUUAAGCAUAUCAAUAAGCGGAGGA